GUAUAAUCUUAUGCAAAUGACAAUGUUCUACAAACACGUCUUCCAGUUGUAACUAUGCUGCUCAUUCAAUAUUAACAGGCGAUUAAGGCUAUUUCUACAAGCUACCAAAACAUCUGGAAGAAGAGAGGUAAAAAUCACCCAGAUGUUUGAGGAAUGAUAGAGUUGAGAUGACAGCUAGUUGCAGCUAUCUUAGUCUUUUUUUUUUUUUUUUUGGCAAUUUUACAUAGUCUUACACUUUUCCAGCGUAUCAGCCUUAAACAAACAGGCAUGUAUACACACCUGAGAAACUGGGAAAGACUUUCAUAACUUUUCCAAGAGAUGGGAAAGGAUUUAUAUUUUUAUUUUCAAGGUCUACAUCCAUGAAGCUCAUCAGUUUGGGCGUACUAUUGACACUUGAAAUUUGCAGCAGAAUUUGGCUUCUUUUUUAGUUCUGCUUUUUUAUGGUUUUAUUUAUUUUUACACAUAAUGGAUAUAACUGUGUAACAUCAGCAAUGCAACAAGAAUGUUAGAACACCAAAUAUGAAUUUUUGAUCUCAUGGUUGAUAAAAUAUAUAAAAUAAUGAUUGCCAUUCUCAAAUUUUUGUAUUUGUUAUCAUUUUUAGGGAUAUUGCCAAGUCAAAGUUGUACAUCUGUGGGGGCACAUUCCUCAUAAAUGUUGUUAAAUAUUUAAUGAGAGCAAGAAAUUGCCAAGUAUAUAGUAAAAGAAAUCUGUCUAAUCCUCUUCCCAAGAUUCUUCUAUGCUUGAGUUAUAUUAUAGGAGUCUUACUCCACAUCCAUUUACCUUCCUUCCUCAGGCACAUUUUCUCAAGGAACAAAUUCAUUGAUGAGCUCUAAUAGUUUUCCAGUAACAUCUUUAGGAUUUUCUAUGUAUAGAAUCAUGUCAUCUGCAGACAGUGACAGUUUCACUUUUUCUUUUCCAAUUUAGAUUCCUUUUAGAUUUCUCUUCUCUGAUGGUGCAGCAGCAAUUGAAUUUUAAUUUUUCAGUGUCUUUGAACCUUCAGAACUUUUUUGUCUUAUAACAGAAACAUGUUGGUUCCAAUAAUGACAAAUAGCAAAUGCCUGUUUCUAGCAUUUUCAGUUUCUAUUCUGUCAGUUGUCUCAUCUACAGCUGCCUGAUCUUUAAGGUCCUCUUGUGCUCCAUGAUUUUGAGAAUCCAUGUUACUGUGAUAACAGAAGCCCUAUGUGGUUACUGCUUUUUACCCAAAUCUAACACCCUAAGAUACUUCGUACAGUGAAAUGUUAAAUUAAACGUCCAAAUUAUGUUCCUCCAUGGCAUUUCCCUGAGUGGAAGGACUAGGAAAAGAAGACAGACCACAGAGAACUAUAUAUGGGAUUGUUUCCACAAAUAUACUUUUCUGCCCAAAAUUAUUUAGAUUCCCUGCAUUUUAAUUUACACUCUUAAGUUAGAGUUGAUUUGGACAAUGGAAAAGUGACAUAUCACAGCAGCUAAGUGAAUGGGAAAGUCAAUGCAGGCCUUUUUUUUUUUUUUUUUUUUUUUGCAAUGAUAAAUUUUACUAUGAUCAUUAGGGAAACUUCUAACGCCACUGAGAACAAAUGGGAAAAUAAAAGAGCAUAUUGCAAAAUAUAGAAAUUUAUAGCACCACCUAUUGGUUUCAAAAUAAAUGUUGAAAGUUUUCCUACUUUUAGUAAUUAUGCAGAAUAGUAUAAAGAGACAUGAUUAUCAUUUUGAGUCAUAUGAAGAUUAAUGUUUUUACUUCCCAGUGAAUGAUGCUAUGGAAAAUUUUUAAACAAGACUUACAUUGAGGACUAAUAUAAGGUAAUGCUUUUAUAUACCAGCGAAGUAAAAGAGAAUCAAGAUUUUUAUUUGUGCAUUACUUGUGCCGAGUUAUAUUAAGUUUUUUAAAUCACCCUUUCAGGGUUAUUUCAAACACUGAUGAAGUGUAUUGGGGUGCAUUUUCUCUAUCAGUCAGCUGGAACAAAAUAGUUAAAAGUCAUCUGAUUUUUUAAUGCUACCAUUCAGACUGUGAAAUAAAAGUCAUAUUUUUAUGGCAAGACAAGAGAAAUUUAAACAAAACUCUUAUCUGCACUUUGGCCUCCUCUCUCUCCUCAUUGCAUUAUGAUAUCUUCAUUAUGCCCCCAUUAAACUUUUCCCAACAGCAGAAAUACCUGCUCACCUUAAAGAGCAACAUUCCCGAGCAUCACCAAGAUAGCUCCUUAAAAGAUAGCAUUCCUUCCUGAUCCUGUAAGGGGUCAUCUUGGACUAUCAAGAUGACACUUAGUUCUGGAUGAUGUAAACUGUCAAUAACACGUCAUUUGAUGUCCAGCCCUCUGUCUCAAAAAACUUACAUAUAACUGUGCCUUGACUUCUAACAGGCAGAACAGUUCUCAGAGCUUUCUGAGAUGCUCUUCCUGGGUGGUAAUCCUCAAAUUUGGCUCAAAUAAAAUUUUCCAUUUCUUUCUUAGAUUGACUGGUGAAUUUUUCCCUGACAAUGCCUUCCCCUAAAAGCUGGAGAAGAUGCUGAAAAAUCUCUCGAUAGAAUAAAUUCUAGUAGCAUUGGCUACUCCAGACUCUAAUGUAUGUGGUCUUUACCCUUUAUUCAAUCCAGCCUUAAUAACAAUGAGAGAGGUUUUUCAGGAAUCUUAGAUUUCCUUUCCACUCUGCUUUCAGCAUAUUCCAGCCUGCAUCUUUUUCCAAAACGCAUGACCCUUCCUAAACUGGGAAGGAAAGAGCCAUCCAUCCCUUUCCCACACAUUAGGGAGCAUGUGGACCACACUUUUUAUGGAAACUCCCUUCCCCACCCUUGGGAUAACUGAGCUUACGAAAGGAUCACUUCAAGUCUGCAUUGGAGCUGAUGAACAUAUUUUCUCUGACCUUAUUUCUUUUGCAUGGAUUAUUUUUAAAAUCAAGUUUCUCUUUGUAAGACUUGAAGGGCAGUAAAAGCCUUGAGGGCAUCAGACAUGACAUCCUGCCCCUAAUAUUUGCAGUGGGCAAAUGAUCUGGAAAACUGAACUAUACAGGGAACCUCAGAAUAGAAUUAAAAGAAAAACAAUGCCAUUUUGACCCCACAUUGAACACUGGUUUUAAAUGACCUCUUUUCAUUUGACCAACUAUUCUCUAAAACUUCAACAGGCAUUAAAAUAGGAAGAUUGACUAAAUUUUAAAGCAGAGAAAAAACAAAACAAUGCAAAAAUAAUAGAGGACUCUGAGUCACUUGAAAGAAAACAGACACAUUAUCUUCGGGGAAGGAAUUAUUAGGCUGAACUGUAUAAAAUUACAUAUUUUUGUAAGUCAGAAAUUGUCAUAAAUCAACUAUAAUAGAAAAAAUAAAAAUCUUAAAAAAAUUUUUUAAUUGUCAAAUAGUCUAAAUUUCACUUGACUCAAUCUCAUAUUGAGUGAAGGAAAAAGAAAUUCAAUCCCAAUGAAAAAUAAAAAUGAGGAAGAGGAAAGAAGCCGAUGAUGCUUCAAGUAAUUCAGACAGUAUGAAUUAGCAUUUUAGGCUUUCUUCAUCAAAACUGUCAACGUGGUUCAUCUUCACUCCCUCUAUGACCAGCCUGACACUGGUUUCUAAUCAUCUGCAUUUGGUAUUUCUUUCUUUCCAAUGCAUUGCAUCUCAUCCCAUUUCUAAUAGGUAGCUUACAUGUUUCCAUAUUGGGAACUACCUAUUUUUUCAUGGACUAGAAUCCAAAAUGAGAUCCAUGAUCUUACUUGGGGAUUUUUUUAAAUAAAAGUGUUAUCGUGCCUUGCUUUUUAGAUUUUCAGAAGUUGGGAACAGCCACAGCCUGAUGAGACUCAUUGCACACUCCCCCCACUAUUCUAAACAGGCUUCACACCAGGCAGCCUUCACACCCUCCCUGCAGGUCUUACAGAGCGAGCCAUAAUAACAAGCUUCUAUGCCCUGGCUGGCUUUUUGGCUCCAUGGGACACUUCUGCUGCCAAAUCCUGCUUCGAGGGCUUCAUGGGUUUAUCCUUACAUGCACCUUAGUGACGUCCUGUGUUUUGUCUCUUCUAAGCUCAGGUUCGUUUUCUCUGUCUCCUUAUGGCUGUACGGGCGACAAAAUGUCUACAUCUGGAAGGAAAGAAAGCCCUAAUAUAUUUUUGCCUUUUCCUCUGAAAAAUAUCCUGUUGUGCAUGUGGGGAGAGGCAUGUUAGUAAUAAGAGAAGGAAAUGAUGGGGUCAGCUGGGGCUGUUAGAGACGGUCCAGAUGAAAUUUAAAGAGGGAACUGCGGUGAUGGUUUUUGAGAAAACUGGGUGAUGUGAGUUGCAAAACCUACAGCCCCUCAUCUGGAUGGGUAAAACAUACCAAAAAGCUGAGCUCAGACCGGCAAGAUUCACUUCUUCUAAACAUAAAACAAGGAAACGUGGAAGGUUUGCUCUUUCUCUUUAAUAAAGAACGUUAACAACCUGCUUUGGGGAACACGAAUCUUUUUAUGGAGUAAGAACUAGCUCUUUAAAAAUGGGAAAUCCGUGUGGGUAUAGUGUUUAUUUAUGCACACAUAAAUAUACACACAUGCAAUGAUUAUUAAUAUUUACAUACACAUUCGCGUAUGGAAAUAAUUGUCUUGGAAAGUGGUUUAGAUCUAGAAACAAUUGGCAGACAAAGAAAGGAAAGCUGAGAAUGUUCCAGUCUACAAAACCAUCCCAAAGGACAACAUUCCCAACAAUGGGAAGGUUGAUAGCAUAAUAAUCCCCAUAAAAAUAACAUAGGGGAAGGGGGGAGAGGAGGAUCUUCAGUGUUCUUAUGGAUUCAUAUGAAAGGUUUUAGAACCUAAGUUCUUUUCAAAUCAACUUUUAUUUACUUGUGCAAAAAUAGAUUGACAGCUUCAAACGAAGGGUAGGUGGGUGUCAGAGUCUUGGCAACUGGUGAAAACUGCAGCACUUGGGUGGGUGUUUGUUAGAUGGAGGAAAAAAAAUGGAAAGCCAGCCCUCCCUUCUGAAAAGAUAUUCCCACAACGAACACACCACUGUCCACUACAGAAUGUGUGUUUUGUUUUGUCUGUGCAGGAUCCCGGUUGAUUUUUAUCCCCACACGAGACACGCCAUGGAAUAUUUACAUGUUUGGAUACAUC
rnacentral:lncRNA from 1 species